ensembl:rRNA 5S_rRNA 5S ribosomal RNA
AUCUACGGCCAUACCACCCUGAACGCACCUGAUCUCCUCUGAUCUCGGAAGCUAAGCAGGGUCGGGCCUGGUUAGUACUUGGACGGGAAAAAUACACAUAUUAGGCUGGAUAUGGUGGCUC